CAUGUUGUGUUUUUAAUACAAUAAAAAAAAUUAGAGGAUUCCUAAUUGUUUUCAUGGUAUAAAGAUCUUAAAGGAAUGUUAAAAAGAUUUCAAGGUAAAAAAAAAAAAAUUGAAGUCCAGUCCUUUAAUGACUUUUAGGUUUUCAGCACAUGCCUAGUUCUUGGACUUUAUGAAUGGAAAAAAGUGGCAUGUAUCCACUGGCUUAAUCUAAGGUGUCAACAAUCCUUCUCUGAAGCUAUUGAAAUAGGAGGAGUGCCCACAAUUACUAAACAUCUUCCGGUGAUAAAAAAGAAAUUGCAUAAUCUUCUGGCUACAUGCAUCAGAAUGAUUCAGCGUUUCACAAAAAAUUUACUUCCAUUGACUUUGCAGUUAGGUAAAUUUUCAGGAAUACUUUCUCAUACUUAGCUGAGUCAGUUGAAAGGUAACAACUGUUCGCUCCCAUAGAAGUCACAGCUUCUGAAAGCUGACUAAUCGUAGACUUGGAAGGGACUUUAGAGAUCAUCCAAUUCAAACACCUCGUUCUACAGAUGAAGCCCAGAGAAGAAGUGAAUUCCCCAGAGUAUGGUGACAAAAGCUGACAUCUGAAGAUGUUCUAAGUGAGCUGCCUGCAGUGCGUGUCAACAUUGGAACACCUGGGGCAGAGCUGGCUCCCAGAACAACAGGGGAGACUUGCCAACAAGCUUGCUUAGGAUUUCUUUGCAGUGGAAAUUUGGGGACUGGGGCCUGUUUGGAAAUACCAGAGAUAACUUGAAAAAAAAAAAGUCAAUGUUUCCUAUUAGAACAAGACAGAAAACCACACAGAUCAUUUUCAAGAAGCCAAGCUUUUGACUAGAUGUGACAGGAAACGGUUUAGAAGAGGUUAUAGGUCACUGCCCCCUUUUUGUCGAGUGUACUUUGGCUUUGUUUUCUUGGUCAUGAUUGGAAAGGGAUCUUCCAUGAAGAUGUUCAUUGAUAAUAACUUGGGGUCCAGGAUCAACUCUUGAGGGAAGUGAAAAAGCUACCAAAUCUGUGUAGAGUAAGAACUCCUUCCCUCUCUUUAUCGUUUCAAUCACUAAGUAUGUUGAUUCAUUAAAGUCCAAACUUUUGCUGGCACCAUCUUGGCGGCUCAUGCCCUGCCUCGGCCUCUCAUGGUCACCUCCACAAAAGCUAUGUAUGAGUCAGCUGAAAUGAGAAAGAGUAAAGAGGUGUGUUUCUGGCUCCUCCACUCAAGACUCUGAGCAAUGAACAACUGCAAACAAAGUCUUUCAACCCGAAACUCUCAAGGGCAGGGUGUGGGAAGGUGUGCAGCACAGUGCGUGUUCAGCAGGUCGGACAUGUGUACUUUCCUUUCAUUUAAUAAUCAGAAAAGAAUGAACUCUCCCCACUGAACUGCAAUCCAGCUUCUGAUGCUCCUUGUGGAAAAUGCCACUAAGACAACACCAAGCUUCAAAACCCUUGUGUUUUCUGGCUAAGGAUAAAGAGUUCCCUCUUCCCCUACAGUGAUUUUUUUUCCCUUAGUAGCUCACGUUCUAGAAUGUUUAUUAAUUAAAUUUGCCUUCUCAGGUUGAUUUUGUAGAAAAAAUUUUUUCACACAUUGAAGCCAAGCAUCUGCACACACAUUGGUUGACAGUCCGUUGACAGCCAAAGACACAGACAGAAAAGCCCUUUGCCUCCAUGCUGCGUAGUGCACAGCCCUACCUUUCAUGCAAUUCUUCCAUAACUGGAAGAAGUUAUCUGCCGGCUAACAGAGAAGACAUCACUCCUCUCAUACGUCUGUGGAAUGUUGCUAGGUAAGAAAUAAGGAUUGUUCAUCCCAAGCCUGGGGAGUCUAGUCGUCUGCCUCUCAUGAAGGACCAGCAAAUAUUUUUUAGAAACUCUGGAUUGUUUUCCUUGAUGUGAGGCUAAAAAAUCUGGAAAAACAUUAUGAAAUGUGAUUUCUGUCUAGUUGGCAGUGAGGGAUGGUGUGGUAUUAGAUUAAAACGCACGCACACAAACACAACUCUGUGGAGACAAGUCGUAACCUCUAUCUUGGAACCCCUGGUUAAAUCCCAGGAGACAAAGGAAGAGAGGCCGCACAGAGUGGGGUUUCAGCACGUGCACCCGAGGCAGGCUGCCUGGGUUCAGAUCCCAGCUCCUUCACUUACCGAGCGUGAGACGUUGGGCAGAUUAGCGAUCUCUUUGUGCUUCAGUUACUCCAUCUGUAAAAUGGGGGCAAUAGUAAUCCCCACCUCAUAAGGUUGCUAGGAGGAUUAAAUUAAUCUUUGUAAAGUGCUUAGAAGUGUGCCUGGCACAUUGUAAGCUCUGUAUAGAUGUUUGUUAAAAAAUAAACAUGUAUGUUACAACUGUCUUAGUUUGCUGGGGCUGCUCUAACAAUACCACAGACUAGGUGGCUUCAAAACAGAAAUGUAUCAUCUCAGAGUUGUGGAGGCUGCACGUCUGAGAUGCACGUGUCCUCAGGAUUGGUUCCUUCUGAGCGCCAUGAGAGAAUGAUCUGUUCCAGGCUCUGUCCUUGGCUUACAAAUGAUCAUCUUCUCCCUGUGUUUUCACACCAUCUUCUUUCUGUACGUAUCUGUGUCCAAAUUUCCCCUUCUGAUAAGGACGCCAGUAGCAUUGGAUUAGGGACCACCCUGAUGACUUCAUUUUAACUUAAUCACUUCUGUAAAGAUUCUAUCAUCAAAUAUAGUCACAUUCUAAGGUACUGGGGGGUCAGGACUUCAACAUAUGAAUUUUUAGGGUCACGCAGUUCAGCCCCUAAGAACAAUUUUAACAUGGCCUCCUCUGUCUCCAGAGGGACUGCAUGGAGUUGAAGUAGCCACAUGUAACAGCAGCUACCAAACCACACGGAAGGUGGCUCUUUUUGCUGCAUGUUUCUGCUUUAAGCCAAAUAUAUUCAUUUAUGAAACUCUUAUUUAAAACUAUACUUAAAGCCGGUGCUUCUCCUGGGAGCUUGAUGCGUUCAAUAAGCCCAGACUAUUUCUUCAGAGCAGCACAUUUCUUAAGUGUCAAGUUUGGCUUAUUUAAUUCGUCCAGAGUUCACUUUUUAGUUUAUUGAAUUCUCCCUAGUUCCAGUGUCCGUUCACUAAAAUCUAUCAAUGUUUAUUAGAUUUCGAUGGUGUUGCUUAUAAUCCUUCAUCUUUCCAGAGUAGGAGUCUUAAUCUUUAAGAUUGCUUGCAUACACUCAACAAGUUUUUUGAAUAAUUUAACACUUUUGUUUCUAGUUCUUCAUGACACGUCUUCAUGGGUGAAAUGCAAAACACUCUGUACCGUGCCGUACUUGCAAAGGCUUCAGCUUAUGUAUGACUGACAUGUUAGUGUCACCCAGACAAAAAAGAUGUAAUGUUCCGAAUGGGGAAGGAAAACCAGAGAAACAUCACAGGAUUAAGCAAUUUUAGAAGUAGUAAGAAACAUAAGAUCCAAGUAUAAGUUAGGAUGAAUUGAAAGGAAAUUUUAAAAGUCAGUAAACCUGGGACACAGCUGAUUAGGUUUUGAGCUUCUUAAGAGCAGUACCAUUGUCUUAGACUGCUCUUUUUAAAAUCCUCUGUGAUAACUAACAUAACUCUGGACAUCCAUUAGUGCUCAAUGAAUACUGGUGCAUUAAAAAUAUUUGAUGUCUCCAUCAAAGGCAGUACAAGUUGAAAAUAUAAAUAGACUCACAAAAUAAGCUCAGAAGUAGAGGCUUGUCUCUUAAAGUAUCGUUUACUCAAAGGGAAAAAAAUCCAAAAUAGUCUCAUAUAAGUGAGGAACAAUCUACUUGAUUUGAGAUGAUAGUUUAACCUUCCUGAUUUAGACAUAAGAAGAGAGAACAAGAAACCACAGAGCUUAGAGGGACAUUCACCUAGACAAAAGCCCUCAUUUCACAGAUGUACAAACGGAGGCUCAGAAGUAUUAACUUGUCCCAGAUCACACAAUUAACUGGAUACCAAGCCGUUAACCUGAUUUCCAUGUUCUAUGCUUCCUCUCUUUCUCCUGAUUUAUUUAGUAAAUAAAUAAUUUAAAAUAUACUUCAGUUUCCUGAUGUAUACAAUGAAGCAAGAGGGAAAAGAACUGCUAGAAGUGGAAAGCAUGCACGGUGACUAAGAGGUAGAAGCGCCCCGGUGUUGAUCGACGGGAACUGUGAAACGCCUUUCAACAGAGUCAGCCAUAUCAGGCUAGAACAGUGCGUGGCAGAGAGGCUGUGCUUAACCAGGAUGUGACAGUGAGUGUGUACUAUCCCGCCAUUAACCAAGAACGAAGCUGGAUGAAUUCUACUGCUUUCUUAGGCGUACUAUUCUUAGCCUAGAAUUUAACAAAACCAUGAAGACAAGGCUCCGUGACAGUACAAACAAUUUGCAAAACAGUAAAUCUGUUCCUAGGUAAGUAAGAGUUAACUGCAUGCUGGAGUUCAAGGGAGACUUGCCAAGUCAAUAAAUUACUUGCUGUUUACUGAAUACCAACUGUUUCCCCCACAUACUGAAUAUGUUUACUAUUUCCAUUGCUCACAUUUCUUACUGAGAGUAAUUGGAAUUAAUUUUUUUUUUUUCGUGAGAAGGAAGAGAUUCUUUUGGUAAGAUAUCAUCUUAAAUGAUGGCCCUUAAAUACUUGAAAAGCCGAUUCUUCUGUCUUGACUGGGACUUGGAUUCUGUAAUUCACAUGCUAGAGAGCAACACUGAAAAUCUGGCCUUGUAUUUUGAGUUCUAACAAAAUUCUUCAGUUUACCACUUCUGACCUUUUGUUAUAGUGGUGGUUCUUAAGUGUUUUUUUUGUUUUUUUUUUU